AUUGCAUGGAUUAAUCACAUUGGGUCAUGUUAUUCAAAUAUUAAUUAUAUAAUAUAUAAUAGUUUGCAUGGGUUAUUGCAUGGAGUAAUCACUUUGUUUCCUAGCUCACGCAAGUUACUGCAGUAUUGGAAUGAGUAAAACAAGUUGGUUAUUUUUGUCACAUGCUUUAAGUUUUUAUAUAGAAUAUAUAUCCAAUCCUGAUUUGCUUUGAAGACUAAUUCAAAUUGGAGUAUUUUAAGGAGAUUGAAAAUCUGUUU
rnacentral:lncRNA from 1 species